CGUCGAAGGUGGGGCUGAUGACUGGGGUGAAGUCGUAACAAGGUAUCCGUACCGGAAGGUGCGGAUGGAUCACCUCCUAACAGGGAGACAAAACAAUGAUUUUGAUGUCUGAGUAAUUUAUUCUUAGGCCGAAAUCCUGUCACCUUAGGUCGAUCGGUACCUCAACAUUUUUUCAAAGACUGAUGAGUAAUCAUCAAGAGAUUGAAUGAGAUGUUCAGUUCCUAAACUUUGUCUAGGUCACACCCCGCAAGGGAAGAGUCCCCUGGGCCAUUAGCUCAGGUGGUUAGAGCGCACCCCUGAUAAGGGUGAGGUCCCUGGUUCAAGUCCAGGAUGGCCCAUUCGGUGUUGGGGGUUUAGCUCAGUUGGUAGAGCGCCUGCUUUGCAAGCAGGAUGUCAGGAGUUCGAGUCUCCUAACCUCCACUGACCGAACUCAAUCUCCAUUGUCCGGUUACCCGGAGGAUGAACUCGAGGGAAUGUGAUUUAGAUGUGUCCACUAGAUUGGACCCCAGCUUCCUGUCAUGCCAAAUGAGCAAGUUUUGCUUUAUUGGUUGAUAAGAUGCUGGGCUCAGAUUAAUCGAAAGAUUAAUUUGAUGUCUAGUAGAACCUUGACAACUGCAUAGGUAAGUCUGGAAAAACAAAGCAUCUUACAGAUGCAUUGUUUUAAGCCUGAAUUCUCGAAAGGGAAUUUGGAGUUAGAACAAUGAAAAUUCUUUUGAGCAAGAGCCGAGACUCUUAGAUGUUCUUUGAUUCGUGUCGAGCGAAUCAGAGUUUGAUUUUGUUUUUAUGAACAACGAAAGUUGUUGAUGAAACCAGAAGAAUCUGCUUUCAACCGCAGUAAGCGUUUAAGAGGUUAAUUGGUCAAGCUACAAAGGGCUCA
rnacentral:misc_RNA from 1 species